UGUUCGCGCGUCGUCGGUAUUGAUACGGAAUACGGAAAAAGAAGAAAAGGAGGAAAAGGGAAAUAGUGUAUACCAACAAACACAAAUACAUACAUUUAUUAUAAAUAACAUUUUUAAGGCCAUGCAUAGCCAAAGAACAAUCAUUAAAAAAAGUGAAUUGCAUCGUUUUGUUUAAUUGUGUUUGUCAUUCACACUUUAAAAUGACUAUGUUCGUCUAUGGAGAAUCAAAAUAAAAAAGUCGCCAUUCAUAUGUAUUUAAACAGAAUUGAAGAAAAAAACUAGUUAUAAAUGCCCUUAAUUUAUUGCCAGUAAUAACUUAACAAAACUCUAAACAUUCUAAAAGACUUAAAUAAAAACGUGAAUAUUGAAAAAGUGGUAUUUUAUUGAUGAAUGUGUAUUUUGUGAAUUUUCUUAAGCUACAAAGCAACAUUUGCAACUUGACGUUACAUGCAAAGCAAAAACAAUUGUCUAUAAUGCCGUUAAAUGUUCUUAUUCCCUUUUAACAUGUAUGCCUAUGGCUCCACUGCUGAUUUUAGUAUGUACAUACAAACAUAUAUGUAUACUGACAUACACAAACCUUUGAAAAAAGAAAUCAUAGGACAUUUGGUAAUGUGAUCAAAGGUUACAACAUAUAGUUUGAAUCGGUUUUGCGUCGGGAUCGGGUGUUCGCGAAUUAUUGUCGGUCGUGAGUGAUUAGCCACCCAUUCAUAAGUGAUGUUAUUGUGUGAACUUGUAAAUAAAUGGUUGGGUGCAAACUAUUGACAGAAUACCUUUCGCGCGUAAGUGUUGUGUGUUGUUGGUAUUUUCGGGCAAUAGCGUUUCAUUACUUGGCUGCUUUUCGUUCGUAUGCAUGCGCGCCGUUUUCUUUCGUUUGUUCUUUGGCCGAGAGAAUGGAAGGCAAGUGGGAGGUUAACUGCUCGUAUGUUUACGCAUAAAGGAGUGUGCUUAAAGACGAUAUAAACAAGGCAAUUGCCAACGAAUUUCGUCGCAAAAAUUGAACUCUUUAUUUGUAUUCGGGCGUUCGCGGGUAAUCGUGUGUUUUGGUGUGAGAAAAUUGUGCAGCAGCAAAAACUAAAUGAGAACAUAAGGAAAUGUGUAAUGCAAUUGGGACACAAGUGAAGUUAUUUAAAUUAUUGUAUUUCGUAAUAUGAGCGUGCGUUUCCGCUUUUUCGUUCGUUUGCGUUUUUUUGCAUUCCCGUAAUAGAGGGAGUAAAAGGCUUUGAUUGACAUUUCACCAUUUCGCAUUUGAUCAACAAGUUUCAAUGUAUUCUUCUUAUAGGGGUGAGCCAUAUGUUUGUAGGCUAAGUGGCUGUGGUUUAUGAAAUUAUAAUAAUUUAAUCACACAAUCGAUUGAAUGUCGUGUCAUGAAAGCCACAAUGUAAUCACUUACAAUUUGUUAAUAAUUGUCAUUACGUGAAGAGAAUGAAACAACAGAAUUUCCCAGCUAUAAUUGCGAUCGAAUAUAUCAAUACUAGCAAACAUUUGCAAGUUGGCACUUGAUUUUAUUUUAAAUCACCUAGAAGUGUCACACCUCGAACAUCGAAACUGGAAAUGUGUCAUCUAUUUUUGGCAUUG
rnacentral:sRNA from 1 species